GACGAACGCUGGCGGCGUGCUUAACACAUGCAAGUCGAACGGAAAGGCCCUGCUUUUGUGGGGUGCUCGAGUGGCGAACGGGUGAGUAACACGUGAGUAACCUGCCCUUGACUUUGGGAUAACUUCAGGAAACUGGGGCUAAUACCGGAUAGGAGCUCCUGCUGCAUGGUGGGGGUUGGAAAGUUUCGGCGGUUGGGGAUGGACUCGCGGCUUAUCAGCUUGUUGGUGGGGUAGUGGCUUACCAAGGCUUUGACGGGUAGCCGGCCUGAGAGGGUGACCGGCCACAUUGGGACUGAGAUACGGCCCAGACUCCUACGGGAGGCAGCAGUGGGGAAUAUUGCACGAUGGGCGGAAGCCUGAUGCAGCAACGCCGCGUGCGGGAUGACGGCCUUCGGGUUGUAAACCGCUUUCGCCUGUGACGAAGCGUGAGUGACGGUAAUGGGUAAAGAAGCACCGGCUAACUACGGG
rnacentral:rRNA from 1 species